UACGUAGGGUGCGAGCGUUAAUCGGAAUUACUGGGCGUAAAGCGUGCGCAGGCGGUUCGCCGUGUCCUGUGUGAAAGCCCCGGGCUCAACCUGGGAAUGGCAUGGGAAACUGGCGGGCUGGAGUGUGGCAGAGGGGGGUGGAAUUCCGCGUGUAGCAGUGAAAUGCGUAGAUAUCGGAAGGAACGCCGGUGGCGAAAGCGGCGUGCUGGACCUUUUCUGACGCUGAGGCGCGAAAGCCAGGGGAGCAAACGGG
rnacentral:rRNA from 1 species